GACAGAGGGUGCAAACGUUGUUCGGAAUUACUGGGCGUAAAGCGCGUGUAGGCGGCCCUGUAAGUCGGGUGUGAAAUCCCACGGCUCAACCGUGGAAGUGCACUCGAAACUACAGGGCUAGAGUCCUGGAGAGGAAGGUGGAAUGCUUGGUGUAGAGGUGAAAUUCGUAGAUAUCAAGAGGAACACCGGUGGCGAAGGCGGUGAUCUGGGCCGACACUGACGCUGUAGAGCGAAAGCGUGGGGAGCGAACAGG
rnacentral:rRNA from 1 species